UGGUAUGAAAAGUUUGACGAGAUAUUAACUGUUUCAUAAAAAUUUAUAAUAGAAUUUUAUUUUUUAGUCAAAAAGCUAAAAUAUAUUUAAAAGACGAGAAGACCCUAUAAAUCUUUAUAUUUAGGUUAUUAUAAUUUUAUAGAUUUUUUUUGUUAUAAUAAUUGAUAAUAUUUUAUUGGGGUGAUAUUAAAAUUUGAUAAACUUUUAAUUGUUUAAAUCAUUAAUUUAUGAAUAAUUGAUCCGUUAUUAGCGAUUAAAAAAAUAAGUUACCUUAGGGAUAACAGCG
rnacentral:rRNA from 1 species